AUGGUUUGGCACCUCGAUGUCGGCUCGUCGCAUCCUGGGGCUGUACAAGGUCCCAAGGGUUCCGGAGUUCACGGAUUAAAGCGGCACGCGAGCUGGGUUCAGAACGGCGUGAGCCAGUUCGGUCCCUAUCCACUGCGCGCGAAGGAAAUUUGAGGGGAGACGCUCUUAGUACGAGAGGACCGGAGUGUACUGACCUCUGGUGUACCAAUUGUUCCGCCAGGAGCAUACGUUGGGUAGCCACGUCGGGCAGCGAUAAGCGCUGAAAGCAUCUAAGCGCCAAGCGCACCCCAAGAUUAGAUUUCCCACUUAAUGGUAAGGCCCCUUGAAGAUUACAAGGUGAUAGGUCGGAGGUGGAAGCAUGGUAACAUGUGCAGCUGACCGAUACUAAUUGGCCGAGGGCUUAUUAAG
rnacentral:rRNA from 1 species